AAGACGGUUUUAGAUGUUGCC
rnacentral:miRNA from 1 species